ACGAACGCUGGCGGCGUGCCUCAUACAUGCAAGUUGCGCGAUGAAGAUUGGUGCUUGCACCAAUUUGAAGAGCAGCGAACGGGUGAGUAACGCGUGGGGAAUCUGCCUUUGAGCGGGGGACAACAUUUGGAAACGAAUGCUAAUACCGCAUAACAACUUUAAACAUAAGUUUUAAGUUUGAAAGAUGCAAUUGCAUCACUCAAAGAUGAUCCCGCGUUGUAUUAGCUAGUUGGUGAGGUAAAGGCUCACCAAGGCGAUGAUACAUAGCCGACCUGAGAGGGUGAUCGGCCACAUUGGGACUGAGACACGGCCCAAACUCCUACGGGAGGCAGCAGUAGGGAAUCUUCGGCAAUGGACGAAAGUCUGACCGAGCAACGCCGCGUGAGUGAAGAAGGUUUUCGGAUCGUAAAACUCUGUUGGUAGAGAAGAACGUUGGUGAGAGUGGAAAGCUCAUCAAGUGACGGUAACUACCCAGAAAGGGACGGCUAACUACGUG
rnacentral:rRNA from 1 species